rnacentral:rRNA from 1 species
GAUGAACGCUAGCGGCAGGCUUAAUACAUGCAAGUCGAGGGGUAGCAAGAUUGUAGCAAUACAAUUGUUGACGACCGGCAAACGGGUGCGGAACACGUACACAACCUUCCUACAAGUGGGGAAUAGCCCAGAGAAAUUUGGAUUAAUACCCCGUAACAUAGCGAUGUGGCAUCACAUUGCUAUUAUAGCUUCGGCGCUUGUUGAUGGGUGUGCGGCUGAUUAGAUAGUUGGCGGGGUAACGGCCCACCAAGUCUACGAUCAGUAGCUGAUGUGAGAGCAUGAUCAGCCACACGGGCACUGGGACACGGGCCCGACUCCUACGGGAGGCAGCAGUAAGGAAUAUUGGACAAUGGACGCAAGUCUGAUCCAGCCAUGCCGCGUGAAGGAUUAAGGUCCUCUGGAUUGUAAACUUCUUUUAUAAGGGACGAAAAAAGGUCUUUCUAGAUCGUCUGCCGGUACCUUAUGAAUAAGCACCGGCUAACUCCGUGCCAGCCGCCGCAGUAACAC